rnacentral:rRNA from 1 species
AAUCAACGCUGGCGGCGUGCCUAACACAUGCAAGUCGAACGGGAAAGUGGAGCAAUCCAUGAGUAUAGUGGCGACCGGGUGAGUAACACGUGACUACCUACCCUCGAGUGGGGGAUAACCCCGGGAAACCGGGGCUAAUACCGCAUAACAUCGAGAGAUCAAAGGAGCGAUUCGCUUGAGGAGGGGGUCGCGGCUGAUUAGCUAGUUGGUAGGGUAACGGCCUACCAAGGCGAUGAUCGGUAUCCGGCCUGAGAGGGCGCCCGGACACACUGGAACUGAAACACGGUCCAGACUCCUACGGGAGGCAGCAGUGGGGAAUUUUGCGCAAUGGGGGAAACCCUGACGCAGCAACGCCGCGUGGAGGAUGAAGUCCCUUGGGACGUAAACUCCUUUCGACCGGGAAGAUUAUGACGGUACCGGUGGAAGAAGCCCCGGCUAACUUCGUGCCAGCCGCCGCAGUAAAAC